CCCAGUACGGCGAGUGAGCGGCAAAAGCUCAAUUUGAAAUCCUGCGGGAAUUGUAAUUUGAAGGUUUCGUGGUCUGAGUCGGCCGCGCCCAAGUCCAUUGGAACAUGGCGCCUGGGAGGGUGAGAGCCCCGUAUGGCGCACGCCGACUCUUUGCACCCCGCCUCCCCCAAGACUCGAUGUGUGUGAAAGCGCCUCUCUAUGUGUGGGAUAUUCUCUCUCUAGCUCUAUAUAGUGGAGAGAGACCGAUCGCAAACAUAUACUGAGGUGGAGAUAAGAAGCACUUUUUGAAAAGAGAGAGACACCACGCGUGAUUGUGGAGAGGGGAAGGGUUGUGCACACACACGGGUUUUUAGGGGCCCAGCCUCGAAGGGGGGGGGGAAAAGAUCUCGAGUGUGUGGCGCGCAUUUCGCGCGCGCGUGAUAUAUCUCGUG
rnacentral:rRNA from 1 species